GAUGAACGCUGGCGGCGUGCUUAACACAUGCAAGUCGAACGAAACACCUUAUUUGAUUUUCUUCGGAACUGAGGAUUUGGUGAUUGAGUGGCGGACGGGUGAGUAACGCGUGGGUAACCUGCCCUUUCCAGGGGGAUAACCGUCAGCAAUGACUGCUAAUACCGCAUAAGACCCCAGCACCGCAUGGUGCUUGGGUAAAACCUCCGGUGGUAUAGGCUGGACCCGCGUCUGAUUAUCUGGUUAGUGAGGGAACGGCACACGAUGGCGACGCUCAGUAGCCGGGAUGAGAGACUGAACGGAGACAUUGGGACUGAGACACGGUAGAAAAUCCUACGGGAGGCAGCAGUGGGGAAUAUAGCAAAAUGGGGGAAAUCAUGAUGGAGCGACGACGGGUGAGUGAAGAAGUAAGGCGGUAUGUAAAGCGCUAGCAGCAGGGAAGAAAAUGACGGUACCUGACUAAGAAGCCACGGCUAACUACGUG
rnacentral:rRNA from 1 species